GCGGGAAUAGCUCAGUUGGUAAAGCACGACCUUGCCAAGGUAGGGGUCGCGAGUUCGAGUCUCGUUUCCCGCUCCA
rnacentral:tRNA from 1 species